GGGUUGUGAGGUUAAGCGACUAAGCGUACACGGUGGAUGCCCUGGCAGUCAGAGGCGAUGAAGGACGUGCUAAUCUGCGAUAAGCGCCGGUAAGGUGAUAUGAACCGUUAUAACCGGCGAUUUCCGAAUGGGGAAACCCAGUGUGACUCGUCACACUAUCAUUAACUGAAUCCAUAGGUUAAUGAGGCGAACCGGGGGAACUGAAACAUCUAAGUACCCCGAGGAAAAGAAAUCAACCGAGAUUCCCCCAGUAGCGGCGAGCGAACGGGGAGGAGCCCAGAGCCUGAAUCAGCAUGUGUGUUAGUGGAAGCGUCUGGAAAGGCGCGCGAUACAGGGUGACAGCCCCGUACACAAAAGCGCAUGUGCUGUGAGCUCGAUGAGUAGGGCGGGACACGUGGUAUCCUGUCUGAAUAUGGGGGGACCAUCCUCCAAGGCUAAAUACUCCUGACUGACCGAUAGUGAACCAGUACCGUGAGGGAAAGGCGAAAAGAACCCCGGCGAGGGGAGUGAAAAAGAACCUGAAACCGUGUACGUACAAGCAGUGGGAGCACAGGUUUACCUGUGUGACUGCGUACCUUUUGUAUAAUGGGUCAGCGACUUAUAUUCUGUAGCAAGGUUAACCGUAUAGGGGAGCCGGAGGGAAACCGAGUCUUAAUUGGGCGUUAAGUUGCAGGGUAUAGACCCGAAACCCGGUGAUCUAGCCAUGGGCAGGUUGAAGGUUGGGUAACACUAACUGGAGGACCGAACCGACUAAUGUUGAAAAAUUAGCGGAUGACCUGUGGCUGGGGGUGAAAGGCCAAUCAAACCGGGAGAUAGCUGGUUCUCCCCGAAAGCUAUUUAGGUAGCGCCUCGUGAAUUCAUCUCCGGGGGUAGAGCACUGUUUCGGCUAGGGGGCCAUCCCGGCUUACCAACCCGAUGCAAACUGCGAAUACCGGAGAAUGUUAUCACGGGAGACACACGGCGGGUGCUAACGUCCGUCGUGAAGAGGGAAACAACCCAGACCGCCAGCUAAGGUCCCAAAGUCAUGGUUAAGUGGGAAACGAUGUGGGAAGGCCCAGACAGCCAGGAUGUUGGCUUAGAAGCAGCCAUCAUUUAAAGAAAGCGUAAUAGCUCACUGGUCGAGUCGGCCUGCGCGGAAGAUGUAACGGGGCUAAACCAUGCACCGAAGCUGCGGCAGCGACCGUAUCACCCAAGACAACUUUACGGAGUUGACGAUUGACGGAGCGAAGCGACGUCAAAGCGUUCAUUAAAGUCGAGUUGGCUUAGGGAUACGUUCGUUGGGUAGGGGAGCGUUCUGUAAGCCUGUGAAGGUGUGUC
rnacentral:rRNA from 1 species